rnacentral:tRNA from 1 species
CAGGUGUAGUUCAAUGGUAGAACCCCAGCCUUCCAAGCUGGAUACGUGGGUUCGAUUCCCACUACCUG